UGGGGAAUCUUCCGCAAUGGGCGAAAGCCUGACGGAGCGACGCCGCGUGUGGGAUGAAGUCUUUCGGGAUGUAAACCACUGUCAGGAGGGAGGAAUAAGUCACGGAGUAACUGCCGUGAUGAUGACGUUACCUCCAAAGGAAGCCCCGGCAAAUCCUACGUGCCAGCAGCCGCGGUAAUACGUAAGGGGCGAGCGUUGUUCGGAUUAACUGGGUGUAAAGGGUCCGCAGGUGGCUUGGUAAGUCGAGAGUGAAAUCCCGUGGCUCAACCGCGGAACUGCUCUUGAUACUGCCGAGCUUGAGUUCGAGAGAGGUAGGCAGAAUUCCCGGUGUAGCGGUGAAAUGCGUAGAUAUCGGGAGGAAUACCAGUGGCAAAGGCGGCCUACUGGCUCGUAACUGACACUCAUGGACGAAGGCGUGGGGAGCAAACA
rnacentral:rRNA from 1 species